AGAAGUCAACUACUCCUGACAUUUGGAUUUAUUGUCUUCAAACUACAAACUUCAGAAGGUGGCUGUUGGACAAUGAUGUAGGCUUUACAAUCUACCUCAUCAACACACCCAGAAAGAAGAGGCUGCCAGAGUAAACAUGACUGAGGGGCACAGCGAGGCCAGCAUGGCAUCUUUUGUGGGUUCUGCCCGCAGCUAUGAUGAAAUACAAUUAAAACCCAAAGCUGGAGCAGCCUCAGAGGACGAGCAGCUGGUUGGCUUUGGUUGUGGACCAGAGAGCAGCUGGAGGGAGGUGUGGGACAGGAGGGCUGACGGCUACGCUGCCUUCAUCAUGAGAACUAAGUGUUUUCAGGGACUCAGAUGUACAGACUGCAGCAGUAGCUGAUAAGGAAACAGUCGGCCUCUGUCUCCUCUUCAUCAGUUCCUGCCUCAAGUGCACCUGAUGAAGACACCAUGAUGGAUGAUGACGAUGAGGAGCUGGG